AGGAUUAACGCUGGCGGCGUGCAUGAAACAUGCAAGUCGAGCGCGGUGUGAUGCGGGGUAACCCAAUUCACAUCUAGCGGCGAACGGGUGAGUAACACGUGAGCAACCUACCUUUGAGUUGGGGAUAGCCCUGGGAAACCAGGAUUAAUACCCGAUGUGGUCACAACAGGACAUCCUGAUGUGAGUAAAGGCGCAAGCCGCUCAAUGACGGGCUCGCGGCCUAUUAGCUUGUUGGUGGGGUAACGGCCUACCAAGGCGAUGAUGGGUAGCUGGUCUGAGAGGACGAUCAGCCACACUGGGACUGAGACACGGCCCAGACUCCUACGGGAGGCAGCAGUUAGGAAUUUUCCGCAAUGGGCGAAAGCCUGACGGAGCAACGCCGCGUGAGUGAUGAAGACCUUAGGGUUGUAAAGCUCUGUCGGAGGGAAGAACACAAUGACGGUACCCUCCAAGAAACGCCCGGCUAACUACGUGCCAGCAGCCGCGGUAA
rnacentral:rRNA from 1 species